GAUGAACGCUGGCGGCGUGCCUAAUACAUGCAAGUCGAGCGAACAGACGAGGAGCUUGCUCCUCUGACGUUAGCGGCGGACGGGUGAGUAACACGUGGAUAACCUACCUAUAAGACUGGGAUAACUUCGGGAAACCGGAGCUAAUACCGGAUAAUAUAUUGAACCGCAUGGUUCAAUAGUGAAAGACGGUUUUGCUGUCACUUAUAGAUGGAUCCGCGCCGCAUUAGCUAGUUGGUAAGGUAACGGCUUACCAAGGCAACGAUGCGUAGCCGACCUGAGAGGGUGAUCGGCCACACUGGAACUGAGACACGGUCCAGACUCCUACGGGAGGCAGCAGUAGGGAAUCUUCCGCAAUGGGCGAAAGCCUGACGGAGCAACGCCGCGUGAGUGAUGAAGGUCUUCGGAUCGUAAAACUCUGUUAUUAGGGAAGAACAAACGUGUAAGUAACUAUGCACGUCUUAACGGUACCUAAUCAGAAAGCCACGGCUAACUACGUG
rnacentral:rRNA from 1 species